rnacentral:rRNA from 1 species
UACGUAGGUGGCAAGCGUUGUCCGGAUUUACUGGGCGUAAAGAGCGCGCAGGCGGUCGUUCAAGUCGCGUGUGAAAGCCCCCGGCUCAACUGGGGAGGGUCACGCGAUACUGAUCGACUGGAAGGCAGGAGAGGGUAGUGGAAUUCCCGGUGUAGCGGUGGAAUGCGCAGAUAUCAGGAAGAACACCGGUGGCGAAGGCGGCUCUCUGGGCCUUACCUGACGCUGAGGAGCGAAAGCGUGGGUAGCGAACAGG